GAUGAACGCUGGCGGCGUGCCUAAUACAUGCAAGUCGAGCGAACGGACGAGAAGCUUGCUUCUCUGAUGUUAGCGGCGGACGGGUGAGUAACACGUGGAUAACCUACCUAUAGGACUGGGAUAACUUCGGGAAACCGGAGCUAAUACCGGAUAAUAUUUUGAACCGCAUGGUUCAAAAGUGAAAGACGGUCUUGCUGUCACUUAUAGAUGGAUCCGCGCUGCAUUAGCUAGUUGGUAAGGUAACGGCUUACCAAGGCAACGAUGCAUAGCCGACCUGAGAGGGUGAUCGGCCACACUGGAACUGAGACACGGUCCAGACUCCUACGGGAGGCAGCAGUAGGGAUUCUUCCGCAAUGGGCGAAAGCCUGACGGAGCAACGCCGCGUGAGUGAUGAAGGUCUUCGGAUCGUAAAACUCUGUUAUUAGGGAAGAACAUAUGUGUAAGUAACUGUGCACAUCUUGACGGUACCUAAUCAGAAAGCCACGGCUAACUACGUG
rnacentral:rRNA from 1 species